UUGAAUUUUGGAGACUUAUAUUCAUAAUUUACCAGCUCUUCAUCAUCCGUAAUCGAACCGAACUUAAGAGAUGCCAAAUUUUUGCACGUGGCCUUUAUUGGUCGGGGGUGUAAAUUGGACCCCACACUUGUAAGCGCGUUGGUUGAAAGGAGGAAACCUGAGACGCACACAUUCCACAUUCCAUGCAGCGAGUGCACUAUCACUCUAGAGGAUGUGCAAUUACAGCUCGAGUUACCGGUGGAUGGGCCAAUAGUGACUGGGUCAGUUCACGUAGCCAAUUGGAGAGACGUGUGCCAGCAACUUUUGCGGCGGGUUCCGGAAACAAUUUUUAGAGCCUGGAUAGAUAUGAAUUGGCUAAUAAAAAAUUUCAGUGGGCUCAAUGAGGACUCGACUGAAGUCCAAAGAGAACAACACGCUCAGGGGUACAUCCUUAUGAUUAUCGGAGGUCUCCUAAUGCCCAAUAAAUCACGAAAUCUCGUCUAUUUAAGGUGGCUUCUAAAACUCGUCAACUUUAGAGAAGUAGGUGAACUCAACUAAAGGUCAGCUGUGUUGGUGACGUUGUACCGGGAGAUGUGUCGGGCGAUCGAACCAUAUAAAAUCAAAAUCGGUGGUUGCAUGCUUCUACUACAAUCAUGGGUGCGAUACCGACUGCCAUUUUUACGUCCUCAAGUGGGCUACCCUUAUACAUUCUCACUCGUAGCAAGGUGGAACCAUGAGCCAAGUUACAUGGGAUAAUCUGACGAGCUUCGAGAUAUGCGACUUCUGUUAGACCAAUGAUCGAAAGUGGAGUUUGAAUGGACGCCUUACUUCGAUCCGACAAUUCAAGAAUGCAUCCCGUCAGAAUUCUUGGUUAAUCCCAACAUUUGGCACGUGAAGGUUCCAUUGGUAAUGUACACUAUCGUGGAGAUACACGAGUCGGAUAAAGUGUUACGACAAUUCAGGUUUCGGCAAUCGAUUCCAAUGGCACCCAUAGACCUCGAUGAUCUACAUCUUGUCGACUUGCAGAAGAAGACAGGUGAGAAUUAGACUACAUUCCACGCCCAAUAUAUCAUGUGGAAUAAUAGGUACGAGUUUUUACCUACUCCUAAGCCCAUUUUUGCUCCUGAGUUAGCCUGCUAUUCGCAGUACAUGCUAUGGUUUAGGGUCCAUGGCAAGCCAUAUCUACUAGGUGAAGAGGCGAGGGGCAGGACACAGUAUAAGAGGAGGCCACAACGGGCGCCUACGAAUCCAAGAAGAAGAGGCCACGACGGAGAUGAUAAGACGAGUCCAUCGUUUACACCGAUGCAAGAACUGACACCGAUGGUCGCACCACCCACUGGUCAGUAUGGCUCGACUUAUUUUGGUGCUUAUACUAACCCUUUCUUUUUUUAUAUAAGCACCAUAUUUUCCUGCUUCUACUUCGAUUUUAAGUUUUACUUAUGGACCUUUGUCCCCGGCAUAUUACAUGUCGAUGCCAUUGAUAUUUUUGACGACCACGAUACCGACGAUGAUGUAUAGGCCGUUUAUGUUUGGCGCACUGACUGGGAGUCCAAUCACUAUGCCACCAGUGUAUAGGACACAAUAUAGUUAUACCCUUACGCCGAUGGUGUCGCAAACACCUCUGAGGUCACUAUUCUACCAGGGUAAGCCAUAUCCACAACUACCUAUUCCCAGAUCGGAGGAUACACGAUGGCAACCGAUGACCAACCAAUCACAAUCAACUAUGGACGAAAGCGAAGAAGAUGAGAGCCCAAGACCAUAACCUAUACUGGAGGUUGAACCAAGAAGGAACCCAACUCGUAACCUUCGACCACUGUGAUGUGGCAUACAUUCUGACCGGGGAUUGGAUUGAUUUUUUUUGUACCUGCCAUGUAAAAUUUUUAA